rnacentral:rRNA from 1 species
CAUGAAGUCGGAAUUGCUAGUAAUCGCGGAUCAGCAUGCCGCGGUGAAUACGUUCCCGGGCCUUGUACACACCGCCCGUCACACCAUGGGAGUUGGUAACACCCGAAGUCAGUAGCCUAACCGCAAGGAGGGCGCUGCCGAAGGUGGGAUCGAUGACUGGGGUGAAGUCGUAACAAGGUAGC